AUGGGCAGCUUCGCCAAGCUGGCCAAGAGGUGCGUGGAGACGGAGGCGCCGGUCAUGGUGAAGAUACAAGAGCUGCUUCGAGGGGUCACUGAUGUGAUGUCGCUUGCGCAGGGAAUUGUUUAUUGGCAACCUCCUGAGACAGCCCUGAACAAGGUCAAGGAAAUUGUAUGGGAACCAGCAACCAGUAAAUAUGGUGCUGAUGAUGGCCUUCCCGAGCUUCGAGAAGCACUUCUCGAGAAGCUUCACAGGGAGAAUAAGCUAACCAAGUCAUCGGUUAUGGUGACUGCCGGUGCAAAUCAGGCUUUUGUAAACCUUGUUCUGACCCUUUGCGAUGCUGGUGAUUCAGUUGUCAUGUUUGCACCAUAUUAUUUCAAUUCCUUCAUGUCAUUCCAGAUGACUGGCGUCACUGAUAUAUUAGUUGGUGCUAGCAAUCCCAAGACACUUCAUCCUGAUAUUGAUUGGUUAGAGAAGGUGCUGAAAGAAAAUAACCCUAUCCCUAAACUUGUUACUGUUGUCAAUCCGGGAAACCCUUCUGGAGCUUUUAUUCCCAAGCCUAUGCUACAGAGAAUUUCAGACCUGUGCAAGAAUGCUGGUGCAUGGCUGGUGGUUGACAAUACCUAUGAGUACUUCAUGUAUGAUAAAAUGGAGCACUACUGCCUAGAGGAUGAUCAUAUUGUCAACCUUUUCUCGUUCUCAAAGGCUUAUGGAAUGAUGGGGUGGCGUGUAGGAUACAUCGCAUAUCCAAGCGAAGCCGAUGGUUUCCACGCGCAGCUCCUUAAGGUGCAGGAUAACAUACCUAUCUGUGCUUCCAUCAUCGGGCAGCGCCUGGCUCUAUACUCAUUGGAGGCCGGCCCAGAGUGGAUCAGGGAAAGGGUGAACGAUCUCGUGAAAAACCGCGAGCUGCUUGUGGAGGCAAUGUCUCCCCUUGGUGAGGGUGCUGUCAAGGGUGGGGAGGGUGCCAUCUACCUCUGGGCUAAGCUACCAGACAACUGUUCAGACGACUUUGAGGUUGUCAGGUGGCUCGCGACCAAGCACGGUGUCGCAGUGAUCCCCGGGAGCGCCAGCGGAGGCCCCGGAUACAUCCGUGUUUCCUUCGGAGGGCUGAAGGAGGAAGACACGAGGCUCGCCGGCGAGAGGCUAAGGCGGGGUCUGCAAGAGCUGGUGACCGAUGGGAUGGUACAGUAA
rnacentral:rRNA from 1 species